GUGCAUAUCCAGACACAUUACAUACAGACAAACUCAAACUCAAUCAUCAAAAUGCCUUCAAGCACAAGAAUUAUGGCGCCUCAAAUCAAGAAGACAGGAAGGAAAAUCAAAGCCGGAAAUACUCCUGCUG